GACGAACGCUGGCGGCAUGCCUAAUACAUGCAAGUCGAGCGAACAGAUGAAGUGCUUGCACUUCUGACGUUAGCGGCGAACGGGUGAGUAACACGUAAGGAAUCUACCUAUAAGCGGGGGAUAACAUUCGGAAACGGGUGCCAAUAUCGCAUAAUAUCUUCUUCCGCAUGGAAGACGAUUGAAAGACGCCUCUGCUGUCCCUUCUCGAUGACCUUGCGGUGCGUUAGUUAGUUGGUGGGGUAACGGCCUACCAAGACGAUGAUGCAUAGCCGACCGGAGAGGGUGAUCGGCCACAUUGGGGCUGAGACACGGUCCAAACUCCUACGGGAGGCAGCAGUAGGGAAUCUUCCGCAAUGGGCGAAAGCCUGACGGAGCGAUGCCGCGUGAGUGAAGAAGGCCUUCGGGUCGUAAAACUCUGUUAUAAGAGAAGAACAAAUUGUAGAGUAACUGCUACAGUCUUGACGGUAUCUUAUCAGAAAGCCACGGCUAACUACGUGCCAGCCGCCGCUGUAA
rnacentral:rRNA from 1 species